CCUACGGGUGGCAGCAGUCGGGAAUAUUGCGCAAUGGAGGAAACUCUGACGCAGCGACGCCGCGUGCAUGAAGAAGGUUUUCGGAUUGUAAAGUUCUUUAGACAGGGAAGAACACAGUGAUUACCUGUAGAUAAAACUCCGGCUAACUCCGUGCCAGCAGCGCCGGUAAUACGUAGGGAGGAAGCGUUAUCCGGCUUAAUUGGGUGUAAAGGGUGUGUAGAGGGAGCAGAAAGUUAGUUGUGAAAUCCCUCGGUUUAACCGAGGAACUGCAGCCAAAACUAGUUCCCUUGAGUACUGGAGAGGUAAGUGGAAUUCCUAGUGUAGCGGUGGAAUGCGUAGAUAUUAGGAGGAACAUCAGUGGCGAAGGCGACUUACUGGACAGUAACUGACGUUGAGGCACGAAAGUGUGGGGAGCAAACAGGAUUAGAUACCCUAGUAGUC
rnacentral:rRNA from 1 species